ensembl:snRNA
UUAGCACUCCCCUUGACAAGGAUGGAAGAGGUCCUAGUGACCUUCAACACAUGGUUAAGGGAUUGUCACCUAAAACCCCCAACUGCU